UACAGAGGGUGCAAGCGUUAAUCGGAUUUACUGGGCGUAAAGGGUGCGUAGGUGGUGAGAUAAGUUAGGUGUGAAAUCCCCGGGCUUAACCUGGGAAUGGCGCUUAAUACUGUUUCGCUGGAGUACUGUAGAGGGAAGUGGAAUUUCCGGUGUAGCGGUGAAAUGCGUAGAUAUCGGAAGGAACACCAGUGGCGAAGGCGACUUCCUGGACAGAUACUGACACUGAGGCACGAAAGCAUGGGGAGCAAACAGG
rnacentral:rRNA from 1 species